GGAGAUUCAGAAAUUCUAGCUUUCAGUCUUUCCAGUUACUGAGCUCACAAUUUGCUCUAUUGCUGAGAGACGGGCAAAGGGUUGGUGUGUGUGUGUUUCCGUGUUAAGUAAUUUUUGGGGGGUCACCAAUGUUGGUCCAGGGCCGCGCAGCAGCCCCCAAAUCCUCAAGACCCCUUCCUACCACCCUCCAUCCAAACCACAACAACAACCACCAUCACCACCACCAACACCAGGAUUACCGUUUCUCUCCCUCCAAAUCCCUUGAUUUCUCCACCUGGUUCUCUGAAAACCUCUACAAGAUCAUCAUCUGUUUUUUCCUCAUUGCCACCGUCGCCGCCGUCUUCUUCCUUNNNNUGGUGACACUGCCGCCUUUCUUUAUCUUCAAUCCAAGUCUCAACCCAUUGAGAAAACCCU
rnacentral:misc_RNA from 1 species